rnacentral:rRNA from 1 species
CCUACGGGCGGCUGCAGUGGGGAAUAUUGGACAAUGGGGGCAACCCUGAUCCAGCCAUGCCGCGUGUGUGAAGAAGGCCCUCGGGUUGUAAAGCACUUUCAGUGAGGAAGAACGCCUGGUGGUUAAUACCCAUCAGGAAAGACAUCACUCACAGAAGAAGCACCGGCUAACUCCGUGCCAGCAGCCGCGGUAAUACGGAGGGUGCGAGCGUUAAUCGGAAUUACUGGGCGUAAAGCGCGCGUAGGUGGCUUGAUAAGCCGGUUGUGAAAGCCCCGGGCUCAACCUGGGAACGGCAUCCGGAACUGUCAAGCUAGAGUGCAGGAGAGGAAGGUAGAAUUCCCGGUGUAGCGGUGAAAUGCGUAGAGAUCGGGAGGAAUACCAGUGGCGAAGGCGGCCUUCUGGACUGACACUGACACUGAGGUGCGAAAGCGUGGGUAGCAAACAGGAUUAGAACCCCGGUAGUC